UUGUGUAUUCCUGGAGCCGUACUUAGUGGGACUGUCAGCCACACGAUUCUGCUCUCUAAAUAUAUGAAUGAGGGAUGGGUUAUGCACUUGGCGGAGUAACAACCUGCAAUCGUUUAUAAUGUUAGCAUAAUAUAAAGGAGUGAUUUGGAACAUACCGAUGAGUUGCCGGGCAUCUGUUUCAAUCACUAGUGGUGUCAAUGUUGUUGUAAAGCUAUGCUGAAACCCAUAAGACGUGCCAAAAGCUCUAUCUAGAUGCUAUUACAUUUUUUUGAUCGACCUGCAAAUCCCACCACCCAGCUACUUUGAUGAUUUCGAAAAAUCCCACCAAUGCCAUAUUGCUUAUGGAAGAAUGAAACAAAUCCAUAUAUAGUAAGUUUAUAGUAGUU
rnacentral:lncRNA from 1 species